CCUACGGGUGGCAGCAGUGGGGAAUAUUGGACAAUGGAGGAAACUCUGACCCAGCGAUGCCGCGUGAGUGAAGAAGGUCUUCGGAUUGUAAAGUUCUUUCAUCAGGGAAGAAUAAAAUGACGGUAGAUUAAGAAUAAGCUCCUGCUUACUACGUGCCAGCAGCCGCGGUACUACGUAGGGAACAAGCGGUGUUCUGAAUGACUGGGCGUGAAGGGUGCGUAGGCGGGUAUAAAAGUUAGAAGUGAAAUCGCCAGGGCUUAACUCGGGUGCUGCUUCUAAAACUGUAAGACUUGAGUGCAGUAGAGGUUAGUGGAAUUCCUAGUGUAGCGGUGGAAUGCGUAGAUAUUAGGAGGAACACCAGAGGCGAAGGCGGCUAACUGGACUGUAACUGACGCUGAGGCACGAAAGUGUGGGGAGCAAACAGGAUUAGAUACCCCUGUAGUC
rnacentral:rRNA from 1 species